GGCCUUAUAUUCAAUUAAUGAUUUCGGAUUGCAAAUCUGAAGGUGAAACUUAGGUUUCUAAGGCUU
rnacentral:tRNA from 1 species